rnacentral:rRNA from 1 species
UUGGGCGUAAGCGAGCGCAGGCGGUUAUUUAAGUCUGAUGUGAAAGCCUACGGCUCAACCGUAGAAUUGCAUCGGAAACUGGAUGACUUGAGUGCAGUAGAGGAGAGUGGAACUCCAUGUGUAGCGGUGAAAUGCGUAGAUAUAUGGAAGAACACCAGAGGCGAAGGCGGCUCUCUGGACUGUAACUGACGCUGAGGCUCGAAAGUGUGGGUAGCAAACAGGAUUAGAUACCCUGGUAGUCCACACCGUAAACGAUGAAUGCUAGUUGUUAGAGGGUUUCCGCCCUUUAGUGACGCAGCUAACGCAUUAAGCAUUCCGCCUGGGGAGUACGACCGCAAGGUUGAAACUCAAAGGAAUUGACGGGGGCCCGCACAAGCGGUGGAGCAUGUGGUUUAAUUCGAAGCAACGCGAAGAACCUUACCAGGUCUUGACAUCUUUCGCUAUCUUAAGAGAUUAAGAGUUCCCUUCGGGGACGGAAUGACAGGUGGUGCAUGGUUGUCGUCAGCUCGUGUCGUGAGAUGUUGGGUUAAGUCCCGCAACGAGCGCAACCCUUAUCAUUAGUUGCCAGCAUUAAGUUGGGCACUCUAAUGAGACUGCCGGUGAUAAACCGGAGGAAGGUGGGGAUGACGUCAAAUCAUCAUGCCCCUUAUGACCUGGGCUAC